rnacentral:rRNA from 1 species
GGUGAACGCUGGCGGCGUGCCUAAUACAUGCAAGUCGAGCGAACGGACGAGAAGCUUGCUUCUCUGAUGUUAGCGGCGGACGGGUGAGUAACACGUGGAUAACCUACCUAUAAGACUGGGAUAACUUCGGGAAACCGUAGCUAAUACCGGAUAAUAUUUUGAACCGCAUGGUUCAAAAGUGAAAGACGGUCUUGCUGUCACUUAUAGAUGGAUCCGCGCUGCAUUAGCUAGUUGGUAAGGUAACGGCUUACCAAGGCAACGAUGCAUAGCCGACCUGAGAGAGUGAUCGGCCACACGGGAACUGAGACACGGUCCAGACUCCUACGGGAGGCAGCAGUAGGGAAUCUUCCGCAAUGGGCGAAAGCCUGACGGAGCAACGCCGCGUGAGUGAUGAAGGUCUUCGGAUCGUAAAACUCUGUUAUUAGGGAAGAACAUAUGUGUAAGUAACUGUGCACAUCUUGACGGUACCUAAUCAGAAAGCCACGGCUAACUACGUG